UCGUACAAAACUCAAUCAAAA
ensembl:piRNA 21ur-6901 ncRNA